rnacentral:rRNA from 1 species
CACGUAGGGGGCAAGCGUUGUCCGGAUUUAUUGGGCGUAAAGAGCUCGUAGGUGGCUGAGUAAGUCGGAUGUUAAAUCCCCAGGCUCAACCUGGGACACCACCCGAUACUGCUCUGGCUAGAGUCCGGUAGGGAGCGUGGAAUUCCUGGUGUAGCGGUGAAAUGCGCAGAGUAUCAGGAGGAACACCAGCGGCGAAGGCGGCGCUCUGGGCCGG